GUAUAAUUUGAUCAUUCAUGUUCUUUUACAGCACUCCUAGCUAAACUGUUUUACAGGUCUGCUACAAGGAAGAAAACUACAAUUUAGGACAUGACAGAGGCACCCGAAUUGUAUGUAACCAUGGAAAUCUGUCACCGAUCGACUUCCAGGCUCCCCUAGAUCGUAGACAUCAGUUAGCUUUCCAGCAUGGGAGCUUUAGAAACCUCAUCGGCAUUUCUUUUCUCAUCCUUGCAAUUGCGGUCGUCUAGAUAGUGGUGAUAGGCGUAGGAAAUGAAACCCCAGAUUGCCAACACCAUUGAAAUUACCUUCACACCACCCAUUUUGUCAUUGAAUACGAACACAGCUAGGACUGGAACAAUAGGCAAUCCCAAAACACCUAUGGCAUUGGAGAACAAGGAAGAAACAUCAAAAAUCAAUCCAACGCAGCCAAACGCGCAAACCUGCCAAGAUAUGGCAGUCCCAACUAAGUUCAUCACGUAAGAAACCUUUCCCAUUUUAUACCCAUCCAUUUCUCUUGUUAGACCCUUCCAGUCUCCACUAGCAAAAAGUCCAACUACAAUAACAGAAGUCGCUACUACUUGUUGAUAGAUUAUCAUGUCCAGGACUACCUUAAAUGUCUGCCUCCUUAUAACCUUGUUGAAGCAGAACUGUGUCAAAGGGAGCACCAGUCCAAACCCCGCGGCAGCAGCAACAGUGCAUGUGAAACCAAUAGCAUAUUUUGCUUUGGAGACUCCAGAAGUGCCGUCUGAAGACUCAUUAUUAAAGACAAGUAGGAUAGAGGAGAUGGUGAGGAGGACUAGAGAAUUGAUUAUAAAUGGUGUGAACUUCUGUGCAUUGAGCAAAAAGGAGAAGACAGAAUUGAAGGCCAACUGAGAUGCACAGAUGAGGGUGUAAGUAGACACAGGAAGGUACUGCAGUCCAAUAGUGUAUAGAUAGCAGCCUGCUGCUACAAGCAGUCCAAUCGAUACGUAAAUCAAUGCAAGUGUUGUGACAGAUGGUGAUUUUAUUUGGCUAUCAUUUGUGCUUGGUUUACUGGUAGUUGAGAUGAGAUAGAAGGGAAUAAGAACCGGAAAGCCUGCAAGUUGCACUAGUGUUGCCAUCCAUUUGCUGUUUCCACCUUUAACAAAGUACAAUCUUCCCAAAAGCGUAGCCGCUGCCUGUCCAGCUAGGAGAAAGACUGUAUAGAUUGACAUGCGGAUCCACCGCCUGUAGUUUCUUGUUUGUAGAGCCGGUGAGCACUGAUCGGUGAUACUUGUAUAUUGAGGUAAGUUUGUUUGAUCUUUAGUUUCUUGGUCUGAUAAUAAGAACAGAUAUCGGACAAGUCAGCUACUGUACAAGAAUACAUGAUUGUAUUUGAAAAUAAUAUAUUUGAGCGUGUCGAUAUCUCCCAAGUUGGGAGCUUAAAAAACUAAAACCUUGUUGCAAGGACAAAAACAUGAUUCAUAGGAACUUAUUAAAUAGAUCUCCAAGACAAAGACCCUGAAAAGCCUCCUCCAUGGAAAGAGAAUUUACAACGACUACCUAGGAGACGAGCUUUCGCCGGCAGAAUUUCACCUGGAGAUUUGCAGGGAAAACCAGUAUAGCUGCCUAGCUGUAUAACAAAAAAUGUAAAAGAAUCCUACUCUCCUUUUGCUUUGCUGUAUCUCUUCGAAGAAAUUUGAAGUGUAUUUCUUUCAUCAUAAAUAACCAAUGAUUCCAUUGUGACUAUGUACUCUUAAUAGUACUACUGUUAAAUGUAGGCUUAUUGCAAACCUCAUGACCUUUCCACCUUAUUAAUUCCCAUACAUACACUUGUGAAAGAAGUUAAAACAGAGGAACAUUGAUGAAAUUGCGAUAUAUAUAUAUAUUCUCUUUGAUAAAAAGUGCUACACAUCAAGAAUUAGAGAGAGCUGACUCACCCAUGAUGUGAAGUUGAACUUCCUGAGCUUCUCCCAUGUCAAAGGUAGUGCAGAAACCCAGAAAAGAUAAAGCUUAGAAGAGAGAGAGAGAGAGAGAGAGAGAGAGAUUUCAAAUGAAAUGAAAUGAAGAUGCAGCAUGCAAAUGUAUUUAUGCCAUUUAAAUUAAUCUUUGGUUGCUUUUGUUUUGAUCGUAACAGUAUAUGGUAAAUAAAUCUGUCAUUCCAUGUUUUUCUUGGAAUUAGUGACUUACAGGGACGAAAGUAGAUGCAAGGGGCUUCUGCCUGUUUUUUUUUUUUUUUCAUUAGGCAUCCUAGUCAAGGAUUGGCAUGGCAGGCCCCAUGAUCGUAUAAUAUAUGCUUCUUUCAUGGAUUGAUUGAUAAUCUCCGAAUGGUGGAUGCAUGAUCUGUAAUCAGUCUGGAUGCUUGACGGCCUUUCGUUUGCUUUCAUUCAUCUCAGAACAGAGUGGCCUUUUCCCCAUAAUAUAGAAAAAAGAUUAGGUUAAUAUUGCAUUUUGCAGAACUGCUUUUUUUUCUUUUUUCUUUUUUAACAGAGACUAAAAAAAUAUUUGCAUCGCAUAUAUGUAUAUAUACAUUUUUUUUUCUAGAAAAAAAAAUUAGGGAAAGAUAUUAAAUGAUUCAUAGAUAGCUGGAUAAGGAGAUUUAUUUUAUUUUAACGUUUCUUGGAAAUUCUAUUAUAAUUUUUUAUUAAAAAAUAAAAUUUUACCAAACGUGAUAACUAAAUAAAAUAAAAUAUUAAAAUUUCUAAUAAAGAACUUGUCAAAUUUAAAAAAUUAACUAAAUCUUAAAAUAAAUACUACAAUUAAAAUAAAUAAAUUAAAAAUAAUAAAAUUUGUCUUCUACAUUACUAAAUAAUUUGAUUAUGUGAGACACUCACAAACAAGCACGGGUUUGUUAACCUCCUCAAAAAAUUAUAAAAUUGAGGGAUAAUUCUUGUCACAUCAUAAAGCAGGCACAAUAUAUAUAUAAAUUUUUAUCGAAGUAUUAUGUGAUAUAGUUAUAAUAUUAUUGAGGGAUAAUUUUUGUCUCAUUAAAAGUGAGCACAAUGAUAUGGCAUUUUGUGUGAUUACUGAACCUGCUAGCUGUCCUCGUGGGGUCGAUAGAGCUUUACACCAUGAUUAAAAAAUCAAGAUAACUAUCUAGACGGUGGUGGCCAGUGGUAAAAGCUUGGGACUAAAAUAUUUGAUUUCUUUGUGGUUUCAGGUUUGAGCCCUGGGUUGCUUAUAUGAUGACUACUGGAGACUUACAUGGUCAUUAACUUCAAGACCCAUAGAAUUAGUCAAGGUGCGCGCAAGCGGGCCGGACACUCACGUUAAACUAAAAAAAAACCCAUGUAGAGUGAUUUAAUUGGUUCCUAGACUUCAUAAUAAUUUCAAUUUUUUUAUCGGUGUUUCAUGUCACAGUCUUCAUUCUUUAAUUUUUUUCAAAAAAUAAAACAAUUGCAUUUCUAUGUGAUUUUUCUCAUGUUUUUUGAUUUUUUAACAAUUUCAAUAUUUUUUCUUAAUUUUUAAUAUUAAAUAUUAGUAUUAGGUGUUACUCAUUUUCUUCAUUUUUCCUCUUAAAACUUGCCGAGGAUGCCCCCAGAAGCGGAUGCCAAAUGCAAUUUAAUUAUUUUUCAAAUCCAUUUUUCUCACAGCAAGGUCUUCUCUGCAUCUCCGCGGAUUUAUUGCUUCAACAAAUUCACACUUUUCAAGAGUUGUUCUGAUGCGCCCUCUUAACACCCAAAAUGCAUGAAAUAAAUCAACCACGACGACAAACAUAUUUCUUGUCCCAAAUAAAUCAAGUAUAGGAAAGAUACUAAAUUCUGAUUUUAUAUUUUAAAAAUAUUUUUUAAAAAAUUUAAAUUUAAAUUUAAAUUUAUUUUAUUUUAUUUUUUUACUUUAAAUUAAUACUUUUUUUAGUGUUUUUAAAUCAUUUUAAUAUACUAAUAUUAAAAAUAAUUUUUAAAAAUAAAAAAAUAUCAUUUAUAUAUAUCUCGCUUUCACUUGCUUCAAUAUAUAUAGCAACCUUCACUUAUUUUUUCCACGUACGAUAUGUUCAUUUCUUCUUUUUUUCCUUUUUCAAACCCCUUUAAAAUUCAAAUUACAUAUUAGCAGCAUGCAUUGAUCUUCUUAAUUAGUGUUUUACAAGGGAAAAUGAUAUGCGAUUUUGUUUAUUUUUGCGUUUUAAAAAUAAUUUUGAAAAAAUUUAAAUUUUUUUAUUUUUUUAUUUACUUCAAAUUAAUAUUUUUUUAAUAUUUUUAAAUUAUUUUGAUACAUUAUAUUAAAAAUAAUUUUUUAAAAAAUAAAUAAAUAUCAAUCUAAUAUAUUUAUAAAUAAAAAAUACUUUAAAAACAAUUCUAAUUAUAUUUCUAAACAAGCUCUAAAUCUCAUUGCAAGAAUUUGUGGACUUUUUAAUGGGCAGCUCAGUGGUAUUCCUGCAAAACAAAUGAAAAAUAAAUAAAUAAAUAUAAACGGUCUUCUUGUUUACUUUAGUAAGAAAUUGAACGGAAUAUGACAAAUAUAAUUUGGAAAUAAAAAGGCAUAUGGUUUUUGUUCUUUAACGAAGCUAGCCAUGAUAUUCAGACACCAGCUAUAUGCGUAAAAGUUGGAGUUCUGACAAGAUUUACCUCGAGUAUUUGUCAGAUUAAUUUAUCGCGCUAGAAGACAAGAAGACAGCCAAUUAGCGAGAUACACAAGAGAGAUGGGUUUUGCGGGAAGUGAGACUGAGACGUGCAUGGAUCUCUCUUUAGCAUUCUUGUAUUCUGUGAUGAUUAAAAUUUUUUUUUUUUAUUUAAAAUUAUUUAAAAAAAAAAAACAAUACAACAAUUCUAAUUAUAUAAUAUAAACAAUCUUGUUUCUUUUUACAUUUUAAAAAAAUUAAAAUUUUUUAUUUAUUUAUUUCAAAUUAAUAUUUUUCUAGUUUUUUAAAUCAUUUUAAUACAUUAAUUUUAAUAUAUUUUUAAAUAAAAAAUACCCACAGCUACACUAUCACUACACCAUCAGACAGCUAAUACCCUACCCUAGUAAUUGGACACUGGAAGAGAAGCAUUAACAUGCAUGCAUGUAAGCAGUAUAAGCAAACGACACUUGUCAAGUUGUGGCUGAAGAUGAGUUUCAAGUCUCCAUGCUGACCUGACAGGCGGGCCUGAGGAUGCGAUUAUUUGGGAACUGAUCCUCUAUGAUAGGAAAUGAUCGCCUUGUUUUGUUAGACAUUCAGGCCAAAAUUAAUGGUCCCGAUGUGGAUGCAUCCUUUUAAUUUGAUUUGAAAGAAGGAAAAAAAAUAAUACCCACCCGGCCACUUGUUGAUCUGUUGUGUCCCAUCGUCGACGAAUACAAGUACUCAAGGAUGCUUAGUUAGGCCGCCAGUUUUGGUAAUGGUUCUUUUUAAAUAUUUUUUAUUUAAAAAUAUAUUAAUUUUUUUUUAAUUUUUAAUAUUAUUACAUUAAAAUCAUUUAAAAAUAUAAAAAAAUAAUUUAAGAAAAAUAUAUAAUUUUUUUAAAAAAAAACCAAUCCAACCACAAAACCAACUGUUCACAUUAUCAUAUUUUCACUGUUAUAUAUUUUGUUUCCAAUAAAUAAUGUUUAUCAUAUUGUUCCUAAGUUCUCUUACCCUCUUUUAUGAAAAGAUAGGAUUAUGCAGGCUGGUUACAAACUACGAGAGAUGAAUUCGAGUAAGAAUGGUGUUUUUAAAAAUUUUGAUUAAUUUUAUUUAAAAUAGAUAUUUUAUAUAUUUUAUAUUAUUUUGAUGUGCUGAUAUUAAAAUUAAUUUUUAAAAAUUAAUUUUUUUAUUUUAAAAUAUUUCUAAAUAAAAAAUAUUUUUAAUCAUUACCAUUAUUACAAUCCCCGACAAUUCCGAAAAUAAAUCAAUAACUCCGGUUGGUUUGCCUGUAAGGAUAUUUUCAAGCCAGCUAGUGUAUUAAUUAAUUCCACGUCGGUUUUAGACCAGUCCCUGAAAAGCUAUCCUUUUUUUUAAUUGAUCAAGGUUGGAUCAUUGUCAAAGCAAAAGAUCAUACAAAUUAAAUGAAUUUCUAGCCAUGAGUACAGUGAAGUGAUAACGUUGAAAUUAAGAAUGAUUGUGACUGAGGUGGUUAUGUGUGGCUGUAACUGUGUUUAAUUUUCUAUUUUAACAAUUAAUAAUAAAGAACCACACAUUUAGUUUGAGGUAUGAACGAGCCGCCCUCAUGUGUUUUAUGAUGGAGUAUUGGGUUUCUCACUCUUACAUUGUUUUUUCUUUAUCUACAUUUAGAUAAAAAUAAUUUAAAAAUAAUCCUAGAAAUAUGACUUGCUUGCAAUUUACAAUGUUGAUGUAUAAUACUAGUAGAUGAAGUUUUCUAAUUUUUAUCACUUAUGUAUAUGUUAAUUAAAAACAAAAAGAUAAUUAUUUCUGAUCCAAAAUACUAAAAUGAUUGGUGGCUUAACAUUUUGUUUUUUUUUUUUUUAAUAUCGUGGAUGAUCAUUUUCAAGAACUAAAUCACAAGAGAGAGUCCAUCAAUUUAAGAUCUACCGUGAUCACACAUUUACAUGUGAGUUGAGAAAAACAAGUUGUAAGAGUCGAAUAAAAAAAUAGAUAUUUCUUCUUCUCCUAGUUGAUUCGUUACCACUUGACUUUUACUAGUUGAGCUCCUAACUCACUUGUUAGAGACUUUAUAUUGCUUAUUAUCAACAAUGCACCCCUAGUCAAGUAGAAUGACACCGUUUUGCAAAACAAAUAUUUAAAUUUUUUAUAUAAAAAAAUAAAAUAACAUAUUUUUAUUGUUUUAUUUUGAGCAUCUAUUUUUGAACGGUUCGUAGCCACCAGGAACACACAUGCCCUUUUUUUAAUUUAAUCUUUAAAAGAUUUAUUAAAUUCUAUUGAUAUUUUUAAAAGAUAAACUCUUUCAUAAUCUAAAUAAUGUAUAAUAACAUAUAUAUAAACCAUGAAAACAUUUUAUUCUUACUAUAAACUUGUUUCUACAAUAAAAUUAAAUCAAAUUGUGAGAAUAAAAAAAAAAGUAUUUUGAUUGGAUUUGGGACUAAAUAAAAAGCUUAGGAGAUUAUACAAUUCUCUCUCUCUCUCUCUCUUUUUUUUUUUUUGUGGGUUUAAGAAUAAAGAUGUCCUUAGACUAAGAUACAUAUCAAUGGAAACUAAUUUUUUUUCCUAAACAAUGUCAAUCCAGUGAAUUUACUAUAUUUGUUUUCAAGUACUAUCAUUAAGGUAUAUAUCCAAGAAAUCAAGCAAGAGAGUGAAUCUUAUGAGCCACCAUGCCAGCCUCUUAAAGUUAUAAAAUUCCUUAAUAUUCUCUAUUUUUAGGGGUGUUCAAAAUAACCGAGCAAUUAAAAAAUCUAAGAAAACUAAGAAAACCAAAAAGACAAAAACCAAGGAAAUUAAACAAAAAAAAGAAAAAACAUAUUGAAAAACAAAUAAAAAAAAAUUAAGUUUGAUUUGGUUUCGAUUUCAAAAAUCUGAAACCAAUUGAAUUAAACCAAUUUAGCCAACAAUGAUUGAACCAAUAAUAGAAAAAAGGUAUAAAAUGAAGAUUUUAUAAAAACCCUAAAUCAUUACCAGUAAACGCAAUAGCACCCUUACCCUCCCACCCUCUACUCUCUGAGGUUGUUUUGUUUUGACAUGAGACUUGAGUUAUAGGAAACAUCAAGUCUAAAAAGUUAACUCUCUCAUCAAGUACAAAUGAUUAAUGAUGAUGUUAUCUAACAAUAGCUUCACACUCUUCUACUCUCUCAAUAAGAAAUACAAUACGUAGAUUCAUUACAAGUACACCAAAAUAAAUAAAGAUAACCCUUAGGUUAAGUGCAAAUGUUUAAUGAUGAUGUUAUAGCUAUCCAACAAUAACUUUAUACUUUUCCACUCCCUUAAUAGAAAAUACAACAUUUAGCUCCAUUAUAUGUACACUAGAAUACAUAUAAACAACUACAGUACCUUAAAGGAACAUGAUGUAACUACAUGUAAGAAAGGAACGAGAACAAUCAUGCUUUAAAUGUCUAAAAGAUUUGUUACCACUAUAAAGAGCACUCCUUAAAAAGUCUUACUCAAAACACCAUUAACUUUCUUCUAAAUCUCACUCAUGUGCUCCUAAUUAUAAAAAAGACCUAAAUGCAAGACAAGAUCAAUAACUGCACGACCUUUGAACACCACUCCUACCAUGUGAGAAACUCUCAACUUUGUCAUCAAAUGUUACACACUCAUUUAUCCAAAUACUAUCUCCAUGAAGGCCAACAUGGACAACUAUGAUGGUCUUACAAAUACUAAAAAGAAAAUACAAAAUGCGAGAAGCAUUCUAAAUUUUAUAUGUAAAAGAAUGAUGCCAUAUGCAAAAUCUUUCCAAUAGCAUUUUGUGGAUUUACUUAGGUGUGGUAUCACAACUUUUAGUUUGGCUCUAUCCUUGGCCUAUAUAAUCUUUAUAUUAUGUUAAAGCAUAUCUUUUGUUUUAUUAUAAGCAUACUAGCUAAAAAGAACACUACUUAGUUCUUCACUAUCACAUAACAAGAAUAAGAUAGCACUAUAGCAUAUCCUUAAAGGUUUAAUAAGGAAAUGCUCAACAUAGAGAACUCUUCUUAACAUAAAUGGAGAGCCAUAUUUAAGUAGAAUAAGCAAACAUGACUAGACAUGAAAUUUUUGUUUCCAUAUAAUAGAAUCUCUUUAAUGCCAUAAAUAUCCAAUCAAGACAUCUAGAAAAAGCAUAAAUGGAUUCAUUCAUGAUCACCUAAUUUUCUCUAAGUUCAUGACCACAUAUCUUACUACUACAUAUGUUGAGGUAUAGGCUGCCAUUCAAGAAAGUGAUUUUUACAAUAUGUACCAUUUUAAAAAGUGGCAUGAACACAAAAAACCCUUAUGUUAUUUUUACCAUUAUAACAGUUAUGAUAUUGAGAAAUGACAUGCCUUGAAAAAAAAAAAAGAUAGAAAGAUUGAUCUUUAAAGGAUACCUCCUAUGAUUUAUUAAGAAAUACAUGUAACCCAAACUAGGAAAAUAUCUCUAUAAUGCUUUAUUCGAGAUCAAAUAAUUUAAAAAAUUAUAUCUCCACUAUCUUUUGAACUUUACAAAUAAAAGUAGUAGUGUUUCUUUAUUUCUCCAUUGAAUUCUUCAAGUAUCAAAUAAAAUAUCUAUGACGAGAUUUCCAUUAAGUUAUCCAAGCCUCCAAACAUGUUUUCUUGUCUCCAAUAAAAUUUUCAUGCAAGACCUUCAUGUCUCAAAACAAAUUCUUCAUAUCUCUACGAGAAUCUCCACGUCUCUAUGCAAUAUCUCUCUACACAAGGCCUUAACACUUAUUUCAUGAUCACAAAGCAUCAUCGACUUUCUAAAUAAUAAUGUUCUCUACUUUAAGAGAAAUAGACAAACUGAUCAAACUAUCAUAUAUCUUGUAAACAUGUUAACAAAAUCACAAAAAGAUAACAUAACAUGCAUAUUUUUCUCUCCUUCUACUUGUAUUAGUUAAGGCUUUGAAACAUGAUUGUUUAAAAGACUGGGAAAAUGAUGGAGCAUAAAAAAAAAAUGGUUUUUGGGCUAGCCCAAAUAGCUAACCAUUUAGGCUAGACGAAUAAAUUGUACUCUUUCUUUUAUCUCCUCCUCUCCCUCUCCCUCUCCCUCUCCAUAUCUCUAUCUAUACAUCUCUUUUUUUUUUUCAUAAAUACCUUCUCUUCCCCACACAUUUUCUCCUCUCUUACACACAUGCAUUCUCUAUCAUAUGCACAUUCCCUCUUCCACACACUUUCUCCUCUCUCUCUUUCUACCUCACACAAGGCAUAUACCUUAAUAUAUUUAUUCCCAAGAUAUUAGUGUUGCAUUAUGCACAUAAAAUUUUCAAUACAUGGCUAGCAUCAACCUUUCCACAAAUGGUAACACUCACAUACUCUAUAAGGUGUCUAUAUUAAUAUUCUCUAUAGGUGAGCAACAACCUCUACCACCCCGUUCUCUACAUGCUUGCAACUUUAUACAUUGAGGUACACUACUCUCGAUGCUUUAGAGUUAAGUUGACGUGAUCUAGGUCUAUAAGUACCUUGUUCACCAAGUAAGAAAUCACAUACCAUUCAAAGUAGAAUUCAAACAUUGAACAAGUUUUAGAUAGACAUACACAACACUCACAUAUACAAACUCCCUACAACUUUAAUAUAUUUUCUAUUCAUGUAUAUUACUUUCCUUCCUAUUAACUUAAGUAUCAAAGGAUCCCUGUUCAAACAAGGAACUUGUGUUUUGGAAAACACCAACCCUAACGAGAUUACCAUAGUUUAAGACACAACCCUUGAUAAACCCAAUACAACUUGAAAUGCUCGUGACUUCAUAUGAGGAAAUCAUAAAAAUAAAAACACAUUUUUUAUCAUUGAAAUUUGUGAUUGCAAAUUAUUUGGCCAUAAAUUUGACCAAAUUACAUUUAGCCGCAACAUUUGUUUAACAUUUUAUUGUUUUUAACUGAUUUGUGACCAUAUAGUAAGUAGCAAAUCAUUCAAUCACAAAAUUCAAUAAUGAAUGUUUUUUUCUCUUUUUUGAGUUUAUUUUUCAUUUGUGACAUUUUGUGACUAAAACAUUCGUUCAUAAAUUUAUCAAAAACUAUGUAAUUUAAAUUUUUUUUUAGAAGUCUCAAAGAUCCCGUUAGACAGAUCUAGAGUUGUUUUAGGGUUUUAUGCAAAAAUUACUUGAAGAUCAGAUGUUAUUUUUGGCUUUGAAUAUUUGCUUCAAAAGCCGAGUUGUCAUAAACGACAAGCCGUUUAAUUGUCUGGUCUCUAACGAUAAUCCAUACGAACCACUAGUUAGAAAUGUCUUUAAUCCUUUUAGAAGAGAGGAAUUGUUAUACCUUGGAGUGCUAGCUCUUUUAUUUUGUGUUUUAAGUAUUUCAGUACUGUACUUUACUCACUUUUUUUUUUUUUUACCAUCCACUAAAAAUAAAAGGCAUAAUUUUAUAUUUAUAAGAAAACCUAUAAAUCCUAUAAAUGACAAAAUAUCAAUUUUCCCAUUAAAUAAUAUCAUAUAUAUUAUUUUAGGCUAACUUUAAAAAUUUAUUCAAUCAAUUCCCACUUGAUUUUUUAUAAGUCUAGAAUUGUAAUUCUCUGUAUAAAUUACACUUUAGUCCUUAAUUUUUAAAACUUAUUUAAAAUCAAGUCACACUUGAUUAAGCAUCCCAUUUUAAUUUCUAACAAAUGAUUCUUAUGCGUGUGGUCCAUUAUGUUCCCUAAUAAGUUAGCUAAAAUAUAAAUCACAAUCCUAUACAAAAUAGGAUUAAAUAAAUUAAACAGAUUAAUUUAUUAUCAAUUAAACAAUUAAUUGAUUUAUAUUCGAAGAACAAGAAUAAUAUUUAGUAACUUGUCAUAAUCCCUCUAAUAUUAGAAAAGUCAUAAGUGGUUUGACUUAACCUUUCAGUGACUAGUUUCUUAGUAUAAUUAUUAUCCCUUCAUCACAAUGUUAUAAUCUAGAUAUUAUAGCAUAAAAUAUGCCUACUAUGUUAAAUCAUGUUUAUUCUUAGCAUUAUAGUUAUUGAUUAUUUGAAUAAAAUUUAAAACUCUUUAUAAAUCUCAUUCCACCUUGCAUAAUGAUUUAUAACAAUACUAUUCGAGAAUUGAUGAAACAUUUUCUCUAAUUCAUUUAGGGUGAUGAAUACUCUUUUGAUUACUUAAAUACCUUUAUAUAGUUCAUGUUAUACCUAAUAUAUGUCUGUUUGUUACCCUUGAUUGGGACAACAUGUAGCAUGAUCAAAACAUAAAACUUAAUAUAUAAGAUAACUUGGUGAUCUAAAGUCUAAAGAUCACUUACACAAUCAUCACGUGAAUCGUUUCAUAAACACAUGUGAUUUCUCUACAUGGAAUUCUUGUGGAGUUAAUUCAAUGAACAUGUUAUCAUACACAUCUACAUAUUAAUUCUUGAUAUCCAUCAUACCUUAGUUUAUAAGAACAACUACUUCCUUCCACAAAGAAAAGAACAUAAUAUAUAUUAGUCUCAACAACUCUAAUCAAUAUUUGGUCUUAAUAUAACAUUGACUAGUAACAUUUUAAGAACAAUUCUUUAAUGCAAUAGAAAUCUCAUAAUUAUAACAACUUUAUAAUUUUCUUUGUGAAACAUUUUUAUCCUAAGGACUUUAUCUUCACUCUAGAUUCAUUAAUCAAAUAUUUAAUCCAUUAAUCAAAUAUUUGAUGAAUAUUAAAGAUAAAUAAGCCUUUAUUAAUAAAUUAAAUAUAUUUACAUGAAUAAAAUCAAUGUCACGUGUAACUAACUAAUUGACUACAAGGCACAUAUACUAACAAACUAAGUGUCUUACUAUCCUAGCAUUCAAAGAAGUGUUAUAUGGCUAAACUUCUUAUUCAAAUAAUGUUAGAAAGCCCUUCUUAAACCAAAUAGGCAAUCCUUACUUUGAUUCCUAUACGAUGAUCUAGUGGAUACUGAUGAUGCAAUCAAAGUAUGAUUAAAAGUUAAACUUUAAGAGAAAUGGGCGCUCUUAUAUGAUUGUAGUGGUUGUUGUUAUGGCAAUAUAAUAAUGAAUUUGUCAAAGUUCUUAAUAAUGUUUUGAGUAGUAUUUGUGGCUUGCCUAUAAUGGUUAUAAUAUAGAUGACCUUUUUAGGUGUAAUAAAUAUUUUAUAAAGCAAAGAGCCAAAGUUGAAGAAAUUUUAAGUCGUGGUGUAUUGUGACCUCCAAACAUCCUAGUUAAAUUACUUGCUAAUGUUGCAACUUUUAGAACACACAUGACAAAUCUAUUUGAUCUUGCAAUGGAUUUCUUUCAGUCUAAGACACCCCCAAUAGAUGGUGAUACAAGAAAAGUCUAAAAAACAAUUAACAUCAAUGAAAUAACUUGUACUUAUAGUAAAUGACAAUUGCAUUAUCGACCAUGUUUAUGCCUCAUCAAAUGUUAUAUUUUAUGAAAUAUUGACUUAAUAAUUUCUUCUCCAACGUUUCAUACAAAAAUGCAUAUACUCAUUUUCAACCCUUACUUAACAUGCCAUUAUGGCCUGUAUAUAUUGGUCUAAAUUUAUAUGGAUUGUCCAACUAAAUGACGAACAAAUAAUGAUUAUAGAAAAUCCACUCAUCAGCAUAAGGAAAUAAAUGCUAAAGAGGGCACUCAGAUAAUAAAUAUGACAUAUAUGGUCAAAUAGGUCAUAAUAGAAAAACAUAUGAAACUUGACAAUAUAUGUUAAUAUUUGUAUUUGUUUCAAAUUAUUAGAAUUAUUGUUUUUAAUUCAACUAAUUUAAUGUUUAAUUAUAUUCUAAUGUUAACAACUUAUUGUGAUAAAAUCAUAGAGGAGCCAUAGUUCAAACUAAAAGAGGUUCAUCUACUUCUAGCAAUGCUGACAAACAUGACCACUUGGCUGCAAAGCCAGGUCUAUAUGACAUAUUAAUUCUAUAAAUGUAGGAAAACAUUGUUAUGAUGAUAUCUAUAGUGAAGAGGUCAGUUCAUUGGAUUUAAAACAUUUAAAACUACUUUAAUUGAUAUUUAAAUAUCAAAAUUUUAAGCUAUUAUAAUUCUUUAAAUAUUUUUACAUAAAUAGCUUGAUUUUUAGGGUAGUGAUCUCAUAACACCUUUAUAACAUGCAAUUAUAUAGUUGCAUGAGCAUGCCCACCCAUUUAUUAUUAAGGUAAGUUAGUUGCAUGGCAUAUAUCUUAACCACAUAUUGAUUAUAACGUUGGUGGAGCAAUGAAGGCACAAGAUAUACAUGGUCCAUCUACAUGUUAGUGAAAUGACACCCAUACUACAAGAUGUCAUUAUGUUGACUGGCUUCCUGAUAGAUAGAGCCAUAGUGAUAGGAUAUAGAGGGUUUGUUGAUAGAGAUGAUUUAUAUGAUUAGCUACUAGGAUGAGUGCAUAUGAUUAGUGCUUAUAGAGGCUACUACAUCAAAUUGAUGUGGUUGGAUAUAAAUUUUAAGACCCCUAGUAGAUGCGACAAAUGAAUAAUUAAUUAUGAAUGCUUAAGCAUACAUAAGAUAUAUGUUUAGAGGCUUUAUUUUUAUAAGUACCACAAACAAUGUAGUGCUAGCGUUCUUUUUUACAUUACUUGAGGACUUUUGGGCCAUUUCUAAUUACAACUACGGGGCCAUGUUUUCAUAUCUCUACCAUCAACUAUGUAAAACAUAUAUAAAGAAGAGAAGACAAAUUGAUGAGAGUCUAUUAUUUCUUUAUAUACAAUUAUUUUAACUAUUAUAACCUAAUAAAUACUUUGAUUGUUAGAAUUAAUUGCACUUUAAAUACUAAUUUAAAACCAUUAAUGUUAAUUAAUAUAAUUUUAAUCAUGAAAGCAUUUUCAUAUUAGACAUUUAAAGAGCUGGGGUAAUAAUAUGUUCAACAUUUACACUCAAAGGUCAUUAUCCAUUAGAUCUAGGUACUAACAAACUAAAAUAAUUUUGAAUAACACAUUAUUUAUAUAAAUUAAAUGCAAAGCAAUUACUAUCUUUGUGGCUUGUCAUGUUAGAUGGUAUAGGGCUAAACAUUUUACAAUAAAUCCCACUCAUGUUAAUGAGUUACACUAGGACAAGUUGGAUACCUAGCAACCUCAUCAAGUAUGACUUACAAACUUAUUGUAAUUUUUUUAUUUGGACGUGAACUUUUAGUUUUGACUUGUUAUCUAAUAUAAGUCUUUCAUAUUGUUUAAUACCACCAACUUUGUUGAUAUUCCGUAAGGUAUCUCAGGUCUGGUUAGCACAAGUUCCAUUACAUUGCUUCGAUAUAGUUCGGAUGCACUACCUUAGUUGGCUAAUGCAACAAUUUGGUUUAUCUUUGAACAUACUAAAUUAAGUUGAUACUAGUGACGAGCUGCGUAGUAUUAGCCAUAAAGGAAAACAUAAGGAUAAUUAGUUGGUGAUUCAUGCACGUUACCUAAAUCCUUAAGAUAGUAGGAGGGAUCAGAUACUUGAGGAUCAACAUCUGACAAUACACACACACACACACACAUGAAAUGAUUUUUCCCAUCAUGCGUUAGUUUAUUACACUUACCUGGUUGCGUUUCCCUAGGUGUCCACAUUAUAUGAUGUAUUAUAUACCCCAAUAUCCGAGAUAGAAAAUUGAUUGACACAACUUUUUUUAAAUACAAUAUUUUUUAUAAAUGUUAAUGUUAUUAUAGAUGAUAAAUGCUAAUUACUUUUUAAUGGGUGUAUAUAUAGAUUUAUUACUUAUGAUGUGAGGCUCAAAAAGUAGCAUUCACUAUCAGUGAAGGCAUCAAUGAGAUGAGAUCAUAGUUUUGAAACCUUGCCCGACCCCGUGGGUCGAUCCGAGAAUCGGUUGACCUAGGGUUGGAAUCAGGCCGGGUUUAAGAAAAAAUAGGGGAAACAACCCAGUGUGACUCGGUUGACCCGGCUAGUUGUAAUCCGUUGACAAUUUUUUUUGUUUUUUUUUUUAAUCAAAACGACGUCGUUUUGAUUUUAUAAAAAAAUAUGGUUGACCCGAGUGACCCGACUAAAACUUGUGACCCGAGCCUUGUGCCAAGUCGACUACCGGGCCGAGUUUCAAAACUCUAGAUGAGAUGUGUCAUGACCAACAUCACACUCAAUUUGUGUCAUGGUGAACUUCAAGAGAUUGAGAAGGUUAAGUGUCUCGAAGCGACAUUAAUAAAUGAUAAGAUCGUUUAUUGUGAAAGUGUUAGGGAUACUGGUUUAUAUUAGAACAUCCGAGGCUCGUUUAUGAGUUAUGUUGAUAUUGAUGCUAACUCUUACAAGGGUGCUAUAAACCUGUCGUUGAAUUGAACAAGUUAAGGUGGUUAUGCAAGUUUGUCUAUGAGUUGAAAUGAUUUUAGAAAUAGUUAGAUUGUAUGAUAUAUUGUUAUAAGAAUUAUGAAUAAAUAAUUAGAUAUAAUUAUUUUAAUUUUAAUAAAACGUUAUUACUUGAAUCAUUGUAUUUAAUUAUGAGUUGGAUUUUGAAUUGUAAUCCAAGUAAGUUGGAUAUAUUGAUAAAUUAUAAAACAAGUUUGAAUAUUUUUGGGUUACUACAUCUAGAUAUAUUUUUUUAGCUAGUCGCAUAUAACUGCAUAUUAGAUUUUUUUUGUAACGUGUAAUUGUUUUGUUAAAAAAUUUACAAGUAAGUUAAAAAAAAUAAAAAAAAUCCUGAUUGGAAUGAAUAUGUAUAUCGUUUUGGUUGUAAAACACAAUUAUAAACGUGAAACGACUAGCAGCUCAUUGUCUCCUUGUUUUCCCAAGGCCGACUCUCUGCCCUCACUCCCUGGCGUCUCAAUCUCUUUGUUCUUUCGCUAAAUUCCGGUCUGAGUUACAUCGAUCGGCCAGGCGGCCACCCCCAGCAGCCAUCCAGCCAGCAACUGCGCGCGAAUCUUUCUUUAGUAGCAAGGAAUCGAGGCAAUUUUAGUGAGGGCUUUGUAAGUACCCAUUAUGGUAUUUUUUUUCCUUUCACUUUCCUUCUCUCUCCACAUCCCUCCCACCAAAUAGAGGUGUGCAAAAAAACCAGAAAACCGAAUAAACCGAAAAAACCGAGAAAAAAUUAACCGAAAAAACCGAACCGAAAAAAAAAACUGAUUAAACCAAUUAGAAUAGUUAGGAAAAAUCCCGGUUCGGUUCGCUUUUCGAUUUUGUAAUGCAGGAACCGGUUAACCCGGAUCGAACCGAACCGGUUCAAAAAGAAGCAAUAUAAAUAGAAAAUUUAUUCCCUCCUCUCACUAUUUCUCUCCGACCCUAGCCCCCUCUCACUUUUUCUCUCCAUCCCCCUCCCAGCAGCCCCCUCUCCCCUCCCCCUCUCAAUUUCUGUUUGUAACUUUUAAUGCCGUUUGAUCAACUUUCAUGUGUGCCAAUUACAAAGUAGUAGAACAAUGACAAAUAUAUAUUUGUAUGACUGAAUGCUAUGACUUUUGUUAAGAUGAUGCAAGCUUUAGAAUGAACAAUCCAUUGGCAGCAAUAGAGUUGACGAAAAGGCUGCUACCUGUAAAAGAUAAUCUGCUCUGCUGCUUAAAUCGGUGAAAUUUAUCCAAAAACUAAUUUGUGAUCUUCAUUGAGUGACUUUUAGAGAGAAACCUAAUUCUUAUUUCUGUUUAUUUUUUAAACCCAUUUAUAGAUUUGUUGAAUGAAGUUUUGGGUAAUUCUUGCAUUUUGGCUGUGAUUUUGGGAUUCUUGAGAUCAGAUUUGAGUUGAAAAAAGGAAAGGGAGAUCAGGCUUGAGUUCUUGUUGUUGGUUGAUCUUGAUUUUGUCUUCUUUUUUUUCAGAAAUAAUUCAUAAGCAGUUUGGUAAAAGAUAUUCUUGGAGUUCAAUCAAUAUUCCAUCCUCGGCAACAUUUAGAAGUUGUAUUUGGAAAAUGGAGAACCAACACGAUGACAAUUGUUGUCUCUUUACUCCUUCCAUCAUCACCCUCACAGUCAGUGCUGUUUUGAUUGCAAUUACCCGCGUUCUCUACAUUCUAUGUCAAUCAGGAAAGCCCUUGCGUCCCUCAAAAUCCCCAAAACCACUCAGCACUUUAAUUGUUUUGGGAUCAGGUAACUCAAACAAAUUCUUUUAACUGUAAUAUUUUUCAGCUAUGUUAAUUAAUUAUUAUUGCUGUCAAUUAUAGGAGGACACACGGCGGAGAUGAUUAAUGUGUUGAAUGUGCUGCUGCAAAAAGAUAGGUUUUGUCCUAGGUUUUAUGUGGCCGCUGCUACUGAUAAUAUGAGUUUACAAAAAGCUCAUCUUUUGGAGGAAAAUGUUUUUAAUCUGGUAGGUUCAUCAAAUUAUUCUCUUUUUAACUUUUCUCAUUUUGGUUUUCUCGUAUAAAAUGUGGAACUUAGGCCGAAUUGAAUUCUUGGCUUUAUGAGUUAGGCUUAAUGUUGCUUUUAUCUUUUAUUUUAAUUGUGAGUGGUUUUAAUUGAAAAAGAAAAAAGAAUUGUGAAUGGUAUAUUUUGGAUUUAUACUAAUUUGAAGUGGUUUUUAACUUCUUAUUGCAGAAUGGGGGUAAGGGAGGCUCUACUCAAUUCCUGCAAAUUUACAGAAGUAGGGAAGUUGGUCAGUCAUACAUAACCUCUAUUGGAACAACUUUCCUAGCUUUGGUUCAUGCAUUAUGGCUAAUGAUUCGAAUCAGACCUCAAGUGGUAAAAUUUCUAUUCUUUUUCUAGUCGUUUCUGUUUCUAAAGAAAUUCCUAAAUUAAGUGACACUGACAUUCCUCAGGUUCUAUGCAAUGGCCCUGGUACUUGUGUUCCUCUUUGUGUAAUUUCAUUCUUGUUCAAGGUAUAUGUCUUCUCUCUCAGCCCUUAGUCUUUGUGUUGUGUUUCUCUAAUAUUGUGCUGGAGUUAAUUGUAAUACCAUAUCAUUUGACCUGCAGAUGGUGGGGGUUAGGUGGUCAUCUGUUUUUUAUGUUGAGAGCAUAGCGAGAGUGAGGAAGCUCUCUUUAAGUGGUUUGCUUCUUUACAAGUUGCGGAUAGCUGAUCAGUUUUUUGUACAAUGGCCACAACUACAGAGAAAAUAUCCACGAGCUCAUUAUGUUGGCUGUCUCAUGUAGUUCAUUGAUUUUACCAGUUACAUGAGUACAUAUUAAGCCUCCAUGUUUUUGCACUGUAAUCUACAUUUUGAAGUUUUCUUUUGAGUGGUAUUCAACCUGUAGUUCGUAGUCUCCAGCUUGAAUUACAUGUGAGAAGGAGAUCUAUUUGUUUUAUGGAUGUCCAUAACAGAGAGAGCAAGGGAGGGGAAGAGUGUUGCUUUUGUGAACCUCUUAUUACAUAGAUAUAUAAUAUAUAAUAUAUAUACAUAUACAAAUUCAUAUGCGAGAGUGAUGUAAGGUAUGAACAUGAUUUGCCAGCAUGUAAAGAGCAUCUCUUCGCCACUAUGCCAUGAGCUGGUCAUUUUACUGCCUAAACAUCUCUUCGUCACUUGUUUGGUACAAUUCUAACUCUCUUUUGAUGUACUUUUUUAACACAAUAAUUGUUUGGAAUAUACAUUUGCUAGCUGUUUCUCAUGCCUUAUUUAUGAAAUGGAGGAGAUAGUGACUAGGAGAACAAAAUUUGUUAUAGGAGUGUAUGUUUGAUAAUGGAGGACUUGGAAAAAAAUUUGAAGGGCAUCUGGAAUGUGCAUAGUAUUGUGUAGAUACAAGAGGAUACAUCGUUUCAUGGUUAGACCUGAUCCGGUUCAAGGUCCGGGUUUUGACCGGGUCGAUGGGUUGUCCGGGUUAAUUUUUUUUUUUAAAAUUUCAAAAUGAUGUCGUUUUAAUAAAAAAAAAGCAAGAAAAAAAAAUAAAAAUCAUUAAAACAAAAAGCAAGAAAAAAAUAAAAGUCAACAGGUUUGUGGCUUGGUCGUUUUUUUUUUUCUUUAGUGGAUACUGUUUAUUGUGGGAUUUUCCAGUUGGGAAAAAGCAAGGAAUGAGCAGGAACUGCCAUCUACAUACUCUUUGUGCCCUUGCGGGAGUACAUUCUUCCCAAUAGUAUAGCUGCUGACAAAAACUGUAUGCAUCACCAGCUGGAUACAACACAAGUGAUCUUAUGUUUUUAAGGGAAAUGUUUUGGACGGGAGAAGCUGUCCUAAGGCAGCUUUAGAUGGAAGAUGCAUGUCAAAUAUUGCCAUGUCAUAUAUCCAUGAGAUUUUAGAGUUUGCGGUUGGGCUGUUGGACGUCAGCCUACAUUUAAUUAUUAUAUAAUUAUAUAUUGUUAUUGCUAAAUAAACUACAACUCCUCGCUGAAUUUUUUUUUCCAUUCCUUACACUUGGUCUUUGUGGUUUGCACAAUUUUCAAAUUUAGUUAAAUAACUUUAUAUUUUUGUGCUUUUAUACUCUGAAAUAUGUUUUGAUUUGUUCUCUGGCUUACUUGAUUUGUCAUUGAAUGUUUUAACACUUUAUUUGUUAUUAACUGUUUUAACAUUAAAUAAAGAAUCAAUUUUAUAAAAUAUAGUUUGUUUUUUUGUCAAAAAUAAAUUGAGAGAUGAAUGAACAAAAUUGAAGAAACAACUCUUUUUCACAAAAGAUAUGGGAAAGUUCUAUUUGAUCUCUUAAAUUUAUUAUUAUUAGUUUUUAUAUUUUAUCACUUUUCUUUUAGGUUAUGGGUUAUGUGCUGAUUUUAAAUUUUGUUUUCAUAACGUUUUAAUUUGUGGAGGUUGAGAGUAAAGAAAAAGUUUUGAAAAAGUUAGAAAAAAAAUAAAGCUUUUGGGUGAUUGAGUUUUGAUCAUCAAUAACUUUAAUUUUAGUGUUUAUGAAAAAUAAAGAUUGUUUUUACCUUUAAUAAUACCAGAAAAAGUAGAUGAAGUCUGAAUUUUUUUUAAAAAAACAUUAUUUGAUUUUGAGUUUUUUGAUUGAUUAACUUUUUUUCGUUGGAAAUGAGGUUUUAGAGGUCCAUAGAAUUUUUUUUCUUUUUAAUGUUAUCGGUGAAAAAUGAUUGAAAUUUGGUUAUUUAGUGGCUAAAAUCUUGGACCCUGGUUUUUUAGUCAUCGAAGACAAGUCUAGUGAUCGAGAAAGGUUGUAGAGAAAUGACUUGUUAUUUCUCUAGACGGGCGUCUUCUGCUUUAUUUAAACAAAAAAAAAACUAGUUUAGGUUCCGAAGCCUAGACAUAUGGGCUUGGAUUUCAGGCCCAGACACGCAUGCAGUGCAAGCCUAAGCUCACAGGCCAUCCUUUGAGGCCUAAGUGCGCCUUGGUUUGAAUGUUUUUAUGAUGCUCAAAGAGUAAUUAAUGACAUUCUAUUAGUUAUUUUUUGGGUCUACCUUAAAGAAAAUGACAAACCCAAAGAGGUGAGAGAAAAUAAAACUCAUGAUCCAAUAUAAAAGGUAAAUUGCGUUGUAGAACUAGGAAGAUGUUUGUUACAUACAAAGUAAAUGUGAUAUCGCAAUAGGGAGAGUAAAUUCAUUCCAUCUUUGAAAGAUUUGAUUUGGGAUAAUGUAUCCAUUCUUGUUGCUAAUGCAAUGUCCAUCCCAUACUUGGAGAAAGGUGCGAUCACAUUAGGAAGAACAUGUCAAUCCAUUCCAAGAUAAACUGCGUCGUAAGAUUAGGGAGAUGUUCGUUACUUUUAAAGUAAAUGGGUUAUCGCACUAGGGAUAGUAAAAUAAUCUCAUCUUUGAAAACAUUGACGGGGAGAGCAUAUCCAUCCCUGCAAUUGAUGUAGUGUUUAUCUCAUCAUUGGAGAAAGGAGUGAUCGUAUUAUGAAGAACAUGUUAAUCCCUUCCAAGAUAAACUAUAUCGUUGCAUUAGGGAGACAAUCAUUACUUACAAAGUAAAUGUACUAUCACACUAAGAAGAGUAAAUUCAUCAUAUCUUUGGAAUUUUUUUCCUUAUAGUCGACGCUAAUGAUGAGGUCCUAUUUUAUCCAGUGGGCUUGAAGGUCGGGUCUGGCUCGCGAUAAAGUCAUUAAUUUUAUGAUUUUAGCUAUUUGACCCUCCCUUCUAUGGUGAAAGCAGAAGUAGAUUAUCAUUAUUACCUGUAAAAAGUCUCAUUUUAUCUAUUUAGGGACUCUAUAAUGAUUAAAUUAAAAUCAAUUCAAGAAAAAUCAAUUAUCCAUUUGACUAAGCAUUCUUCUAUCAAGAUAGAAUUGCUAUUGUUAAAGCAGAGAGAAAAAUUUAAACCUAACAUGAUCAUCUUUGUUUCCUCCUUUUAUAGCCCCUCAUGUUCUUUUUUUUUUUUUUAUAGUAAAAAGGUUGACCUGUCCCAUCAAGAUAAAAUAUAUAUGAUCUACAGAAAUAUAUAUGAUUUAUAGUCUCAUCUAGGAUUAGCGCUUGGCUGCAUCCAGUGAUAAUGAGUUUAGCGACUCACUAGUUUUAUAGGCGUUUAGACUCAGCGUUUGGUUGUGUCCAUCGACGAUGAGUCUGAUAAUUUACUAGAUUCACAGGUGUCUAGGCUCAAUGCUUGGUCGAAUCCAAGAAUUGAGAUCUUAACCUUUUCGUGGUUAGUCCAUUGAAGAGCAAUUUCAAAUAAAAAGCAAUAAAUGCCGAUCCAUCAUAAUAUAUCUAAUUUUCAAUUUGAUUUCAAAUAUGAAGAUUAACCAUGUAUUGAAACAAAGUUUUCUAACACGUAAUGAGCUUGCAAAGCUAAGAUUAAAAAACAGGUGGAUUGAUCAUGCAGUACCUUGAAUGUAAAUGGAAAAAACAUUGAGGUCAUUCGGGAUAUGCAUAAACAAGGAGAAGUUUAGAUAAGAUAAGGGCACACACAUUAAAGCACUGUUCAGCUAUAAAUGUUGGAACUUGGAAGGGUUGUCAAUCAAGCACAAAAUAAAACUCACCUCUUUGAACUUUGAAGAGCAAAAUCAAAUUCAAGGAUAACGAAGUUUCAGUUCAUCUUAUGAAUUUAUACACUCGAUCAUUCUCUCAAAUAUCCAUGGGCCGAAUUCCCAUGUCAGAAAAGCAUCUACUUUCAGAUUCGAAUACUUUUACUUUAGCACAUCUUAUGACCAAUCUAUGUCCAGAUUCGAAUGGUAAGCCUUAAUGAGAGAACUGGAAGCAUAUUAUUACGAACUGGUCUGGUAGUUGGUCCGGUUUAAGAUAUAGGUUUUGGGUUUUGAUCGGGUUAUUUUUUUUUUUAAAUCAAAACAAUAUUAUUUUAGUAAAAAAAAAUAAAAAAAUAAAAAAAUAAUAAAAGUUGACGGGUUUGCAACCGGGUAUUGACCGGGUCUUAUUGGGUCACAUCGAGUUUUUUAUUUUUUUAUUUUUUCUUCAACCCGGUCUAGUUUCAAUCCCAUAUUAAUCAGGUUUCGGGUUGACCCAUCAGGCCAGUCCGAAUUUCAAAACUAUGACGGAAAGGUUCAAAUUCUACAGUAUGACCAACUGGUCAGCAGGGAUGGCUAAGCAUUAAUGAUAAUUCAUACAGAGCACCACUUGCAGUUUUAAAUUGCUAUGAGAGGUCAUCCACAUCCACAUGCGAAUGCAAUCCUGAUAAGUGAUUAGUCUCCUGAGAUUCAGUGAAAGAUCUUUUAGUCCCUGCUACUCAAUUAACAUGUUACGUUGUUUCCAGCAGAUAGACCUAAACCAAUUCAUACUCAGCAAUCCUUCCAAUUAAUAUGCUCGUAUAAUUUGAUCAUUCAUGUUCUUUUACAGCACUCCUAGCUAAACUGUUUUACAGGUCUGCUACGUACACGGAAGAAAACUACAUUUUAGGACAUGACAGAGGCACCCGAAUUGUAUGUAACCAUGGAAAUCUGUCACCGGUCAACUUCCAGGCUCCCAUAAUCGUAGACAUCAGUUAGCUUUCCAGCAUGGGAGCUUUAGAAACCUCACCGGCAUUUCUUUUCUCAUCCUUGCAAU
rnacentral:lncRNA from 1 species